rnacentral:lncRNA from 1 species
AUGGGGCUCUGUGGGGCAGCCAGAGAUUGUCAGAAGCCAGAAGCCUCCAUGGGGCAGCUGUGGGACAGCGAGAGCUCACCGUGGGGCUCCACCGGUGCCCACCUGGCUCAUCGGGGGAGCUGCCGGGGCUGCCCUGGCUCAGCGUGGCCCAGCUCGAGUCCUCGUCGCUGCCGGGGCCGGGCCCCCCGAAGAGGCGGCUGGCGCUGCGCCCCGGGGGCUCCCGCAGACCCCGCUCCGUGCCCAGAGCCGGCGGAGAGACCCCGGCCCCGUCCUCCUCCUCCUCGUCCUCCUCCUCAUCCUCCUCCUCCUCCUCCUCCUCCGAGGCGCCGAUCAGCAGCGCCCGCGGGUUCCCGGCGGCGUUCCGGGCAUUGCGGGCCCGCAGCCCCGGCUCGAGGGCCCCGGGGCACUCCCCGUGCGCCCCGGGGGAGCGCCCCGGCCCCGGCCCCGGCUCCAGCUCGUUGCGGUUCUGGUCCUGCCCGGCCUUCGCCCACCCGGCGCCGGGCAGCUCCUCGGCCGGGCCGCCGCCGGGGCCGGUGCGCGGCUCGGGGGGCGCCGCCAGCCCCAGGCUCAGCCCCGGGCACCGGUUGUCGUUGGCCAGGUCGCUGCACUUGCUCAGGGCCCCCGACAUGGCGCGGGGACGCGGGGACCGGCGGGACCCCCGGCAGGGCCCGGCCCGGCUGCCGGUGCUGGGGGGGAGGGCGGGGGGGUCCUACAGCCCCCGGGGCGCCGCCGCGUCCAUCGGGCCUGCGGGGAGCGGGAUGGCACCGGGACCCCGGCCACGGACGCUCCGCGGCCCCGGGUCCUCCCAAGGACUCGGCACCCCCCGCAGCCCUCCCCGGCCCCGGGCGGCCUUCCCCAGCACCGGCAUCCCCGGGACGCGGGGAGCUCCCCAGCACCGGCAUCCCGCCCGGCCCCGGCAUCCCGCCCGGCCCCGGGGCCCCCGCCGGCCCCUCCACGAGCACAACCCCCGGGCUCGCCCCGCCACUCCCCCGGCCCGGGGUCCCGCCGCGUCCGCCCCACGGCCCUGCCCGGGGAGAUCCCACCGGGACCCCGCGCCGCGGAGCUCCGCGCUGCCCCCGGCCCGGCCCUCGGGGGUCUGCACGGGCCCGGCGCUGCCCGAGCGCGGCGGGGCCGGCCCGUGCCCCGUGCGCUGCCCCCGCUCGCUGCCGGUACCUGCGGCGGCCGCUCCGCUGCCGGGGGUCGCGGGGGAGGGUGGGGGGCUCGGGGCCGCGUCACUUCCACUUCCGGCACCGGCCGGCGGGGACAGCGCCGCCACCGGCACCGACACCGGCACCGCACGGGACCACCGGCACCUCUCCGGACCCUCCCCGGCACCGGCAACACUGGAUACCGCUGAGUACCCCCCGGGACCGGGAGCCCCGGGCCGUGCCGGAACGGGGGACCUUCCCCUGGGUGGUACUCCCGGGGCCGGUGACCCCGACACUGCCCGUGCCCGCCCCAGGUCCGGCUGUUCCGGGCGGGCAGCGGGACCCCGGGGCCAUGGACCAGUUCAGCCCAGUUGAAUCCCCGGUUACCCCUGCGGCAUCCCCCAAGGCGCGGGCAGCGCCGGUUUCCGCCCCGCUGCCCCACACCGGCACCGGACGGGGCCGGGGCAGCACCGGGACUCCCUGCGGCUGCUGCGCCCCCGGAACCCCCCAAACCCCAGCUGGACCGGGAGGGUCUCGGAGCUCCCGGCUCUUACCAGCCCCGGAGGGGAGCGGGGCGUCCGGGGGCCGGCCGGGAGCAGCGAUGGUGGCACAGGGUGUGCGGGGUCCCUGCAGCCUGCGGGCACCAGCCUGA